rnacentral:lncRNA from 1 species
GAGACCAAUGUGGAGGAACUGCAGGGCGCUCAUGGCUGAUUGCCACUAUGUUGUUCUUAUUCAAGGGGACUCCAUUCAAGAGAGGAGCUCCAUGUUUACAGUUGUGAUGGGUAUCAGGCUUUCCCAAAAUGUGAAGGCGAGUCACUGCUGGAUUAGAGGUCUACCCUUAAUGUGGGCACACAUCCCACCUGAGCCAGUGCUGUCUGCUUGCAAACCUAUGAAUUGGCUCUGAGGUUCUAAGUGACUCACUGAGGAAAUACUUGGGCACGCUGUGCAAGAUGAGGGCAGUAUUUUAACAACAGGCCAUCGUGUAAGGCAUGGAGAAGAGUCACAAAUGAAAGGAAAAUAAAUUAAAGUCCAGAAACCAGAAGAAGGCUUGGAGCAAAAGGCCAACACCAUACCCUGGAAACGGAAUGCCAGCACUUUGGAAACAAAACAUCUGGGCUAGAAUCAUCAAUGAGCUUGUGAUGAGACUUAAGAAAGAGCCACACCAGUUUGUCUUCUGUCCUUAUGUGCUUGCCUUACGCCAAAUGGUUGAAUGUAAAGUACCCUAAUGGUUGUUAAGCGUUUUAUAAAUUAAGGGCUCUGAAAAUAUAAGCCGUGACCAUCCUUACUGGAGAAGAGACCACCAUGAUACUGAAAAUUAUGAGGUCUAUCAGCCAAAGAGCUUGACCAGAAGGAAGCUAUGAAACUUUGAACAAAAUUAAAACAAAACAAAACAAA